AGAGGGUUAGUUUAGUGGCAAAACUAAGGACUCCAAACCCUUCGUCACAGGUUCGAAUCCUGUACCCUCUGCCA
rnacentral:tRNA from 1 species